rnacentral:rRNA from 1 species
UACGUAGGUGGCAAGCGUUAUCCGGAUUUAUUGGGCGUAAAGCGAGCGCAGGCGGUUGCUUAGGUCUGAUGUGAAAGCCUUCGGCUUAACCGAAGAAGUGCAUCGGAAACCGGGCGACUUGAGUGCAGAAGAGGACAGUGGAACUCCAUGUGUAGCGGUGGAAUGCGUAGAUAUAUGGAAGAACACCAGUGGCGAAGGCGGCUGUCUGGUCUGCAACUGACGCUGAGGCUCGAAAGCAUG